GACGCUGCAACCCCUUCCCCGCGCCCCCGCGCCCCCGCGCCAAAUGGUUAGAGCACCCAUCUGUUAACUCGCCUUGGAAUUCUAUUGGUCCAAGUGGAGAGGCAAGCGGUCCCAGAGAACAAAUUUUCGAGUUGUUUCCGAAGAGGCAUCUCCCUGGGAACCAAACUCAGCUUUGAUCUAUUGGCGCCAGUGACAUCGGGCAGAAAGACCCUUGUUGGGGCUCGACUGGAAAGGAUCAGUAACAAAUUUUGGCGACCCAGAUGGAAUGGACCGUGGCCUUUUUGCUCGCAUUUCUCCACCAGGCUCCAGGCCUGCCCCAGCUCCAGCAGGCUGACGGCAGAGGCUUUGGGAGGUUAGCGUGAGGAUGAUUGACCCUGGGUUUGGAGUACAUUCUGACGAGGUGGAGCAGCAGCAGCCUUUGGCUGAAUUCAGUGGAACUCUGCCCAGCAACCCAAUACCCGGGUGUGCUGUACAUGUAGCCCCCAGCAUAAUCCAGACUGUGCCCCCUCGAGGGGUCAUACUGUGGCAUCACUGGGGAUCGGAAACUGAAAAUCAUGCGUGUCUGCCCGCUGCCUCUGACUGGCCUUUCCACAGUACUGGAUGUCCGGGGAAGGUGGGGACCUGUGAAGGAGAGGGCGCCACAGCAGUCUUGCCCACUGUCUCCCUGAGCUGUUGGGUAUAAUAGUGAGAGGGGCCGUUCCCACUCACUUCUUCCCUUUGAUUCAUAAAUUCCAGCUCUGGGAAGAACAGCAUCAUACUAUGAUCUCUGAUUCAAAGCAUGCAGUGCAUCCUGUAAGACGGAAUCCCACCCUCUCAGGGUGGUGCUUCCCAGUUGGCACUGUAGACGCUGGAACUGAGUCAUUAAUAAGCCGUUGUACCUUUCAUUUGCAUCUGGAUGAUGGGAUACAUGGUAAGACCAGUUUGUUCUGUGGUCCUGGGCAUAUUGCUGAACUUCCUUCACUUUGAAAUGAGGCUUGAUCUGACCUGAUGCUGUGAAGAAUGCCAUGAUCAUGGACCAGCAUUCUUUGAGUCCACAUGUGGUGACAGUAGCAAAAGCAUUACUGGCAGGGAAAGUCCAUAUCCUGAAUAUCUGUCGAUCCCAGCAAGGACCCAUCUCUUCCCCUCUCAUAAUGGAGGAAGUCCAAUGUAAUCAUCUUGCCACCAGGUAGCAGGCUGAUUCUCCAGGGAAUGGUGACAUCUGGGACUCAGUAUUGGUCUCUGCUGUUGGAAGAUCAGGCACUUGACAGUAGUGGUAGUGACAAAGAUUCUUUUCUGGACUAAACCUGAGUCUGACUCCUCCGAGCCCUCUGCCUGGCUAAGGAUGACCUUGGACUUCUGUCUCCAUCCUUAUAGAGUCCAGUUGUAGCACGAAUCCUGCUAAGUCAGUAUAGCCAAAACCUCCCACCCUUGAUAGCUGCUCAUCCUUGACAUCUGUCCAAAUUCCUCACCCACCCUGGCCCCGCGCAACCAUAUACCCCCAUGCAAUAUCUGAUCACCCUGACCUGCCUUCAGCCAGAAUCCUAUGAGAUCAGUUUAGCAACAAAUUACUCUUACCCUCUUGUUAAUUUUCCGUCCCUGUUCCUUGUCUCUAACUCCCACUUUCCCUUGUUGUGUUCAAGAGUUGAGCCCAAUCCCUCUCCCCUCCUGCAAAAAACACUCCGUGCAGUACUCCCUACUUCUGUUGUGAUCGUCCUGAAUAAAGUCUGCCUGACCAUUUUAA